UUGCGGCCAUGGGUUUGCCUGUGGCCACGCCUGUCCGAGGGUCGGCU
rnacentral:rRNA from 1 species